AGUUUAUCUCUCGAUUCUGCCCUAAAUUUAUUUAGCUCUCUGCGAGAUCACACACCACACCACCCCUUCUUCUCAAAAACCUCAACAGCGAUUCGUGGAAUUUUGAAACUGUUUGGACGCGGCGAGUGAGAUGUCUGAUUACGAAGAAAACGGCGCCUCCGGCGAUGGAUUUCACUCCGAAGAUGGCGGUGUACGCCGCGGCGAGAUCGACGACCACCGAGACUCAAAAUCCGAGAAGGAAAUGCUUGACAAUGAGAAGGAUCCUGGAAGUAAAGAAGAAGAAAGUCGAGUGAAAGGGCGAGAUAAGGAGAGAGAUAGGGACCGUGAACGGAGGAGGGACAGAGAGGGAGAGAGAAUCAAGCGGCAUGAUGACAGGGAUGAGGAUAGAGGCAGGGAUCGAGAUCGACAUCACAGGAGUCGUCACAGGGAUCGCAGUGUGGAACGAGGCGAAAGAAGAGAACGUGCUAGGGGUGAUGAUGAUGACUACCGUCGAAGCCGUGACCGUGACUUUGACAGGCGUAGAGAUUAUGACAAAGAUAGAGGAGAUAGACGCCGUCGCCGUUCUCGUUCAAGGGGUAGAUCUGAGCGUAGAUCACGAUCUCCAUCAAAGAGUAAACGGGUCAGUGGAUUCGACAUGGCACCUCCAGCUUCUGGGAUGUUAGAUGCUGGUUCUGCAUUUACAGGCCAAGUUCCUGCUCCAAGCCCAAAUCUUCUUCCUGGGAAUGGAAUGUUUCCUUUACAAGCUGGACAGCCAUUCGGGGGAGUCCCUAUGAUGCCUAUUCAGGCAAUGACACAACAGGCUACUAGACAUGCUCGCAGGGUCUAUGUUGGUGGCCUUUCUCCUUCAGCAAAUGAACAGUCUGUUGCAACAUUUUUUAGUCAGGCUAUGGCUGCUAUUGGCGGAAACAGUGCUGGUCCAGGUGAUGCUGUUGUUAAUGUGUACAUAAACUACGAGAAGAAAUUUGCAUUUGUGGAGAUGCGAUCCGUUCAAGAGGCCAGUAAUGCAAUGACUUUGGAUGGAAUUAUAUUUGAGGGAGCUCCAGUGAAGGUGAGGAGACCGAGUGACUAUAACCCUGCGCUGGCUGCAACCCUUGGUCCAAGCCAGCCCAUUCCAAAUUUAAACUUGGCUGCUGUUGGUCUGACUCCAGGGGGUGCUGGUGCGCUUGAAGGCCCAGACCGUCUUUUUGUUGGUGGACUUCCUUAUUAUAUCCCUGAGUCACAAAUCAGGGAGCUGUUAGAGUCUUUAGGAGUCCUGAAAGGUUUUGAUCUUGUAAGAGACAGAGAAACUGGAAACUCAAAAGGAUAUGCAUUCUGCGCGUAUCAAGAUACUGCAGUUACAGACAUUGCAUGCGCUGCCCUCAAUGGAAUUACCAUGGGGGAUAAAACUCUAUGUGUAAGGCGAGCUAACCAAGGAGCAAAUCAAACGAAACCUGAACAGGAGAGUGUAUUGUUGCACGCACAACAGCAAGUUGCUUUCCAGAAGAUUAUGCUACAACAGGGAACAGCAGCAGCAGCAGCCACCAAAGUCGUGUGCCUGACUCAAGUAGUUACCGAGGACGAGCUUAGAAAUGAUGAGGAGUACGAAGACAUUGUUGUAGACAUGAGAGAUGAAGGCGGAAAGUUUGCCUUUUGUUGUCCCACAUUCUGCUAUAGAGAAUCAGGCCAUAACAGGAGACUGCAUAACUUCCUUAUCUAUAUAUCAUCCAAGACACAUCCUACUUAGAAGGAACAACUUGUUGUUUUGUGUUUUUUUUUGCUCUUGGAUUCGAAUAUGUUUGCUAUUAAAAUGCAGGUGCGUUAACUAAAGUCGUGAUCCCUCGCCCCAGCUCCAACGGUGAGACCGUUCAGGGCGUUGGCAAGGUGUUUCUUGAGUAUGCGGAAACAGAGAGCUCAAGCAGGGCAAGAAACGGGAUGAAUGGUAGGAAGUUUGGAGGGAACGAAGUGGUGGCUGUGUUUUACCCUGAAGAUAAGUUUGAACAAGCCGAUUAUUCUCUCUAAGAUAGUAUAUUUAAAUUCUUCAAAUAACUUGUUAUAAACCAUUUACUUGUUUGUGUUGUAUGAAGACAAUGAAGGAUCCAUAUCACAAUGCUUGUUACCUUCUA